CUGAACCAGUGAACCCUGGGCCACUGGAGCAGAGUGUGUCAACUUAACCUCUGCACAACUGGGUUGGCCCCCAGUUAAUGUAUUUUAAGUGUCAAUUUCCUAUCCAUUUGACAAGUGAGAAGAUGCUGAUUUAUUUUCUCCCCUUCUGUAGAUGGGAAAAUAGAAGGUAUUCAGGCUGAGAUGGUAUGACGCUGAAGGCUUGAUCAACUUCUUCAAAGAUCGUUUGCAAUCUUCCAUUGUAAUUUUGACUAAUUUUUCAUGUGUGGUUUGUGAAAUCAGAGGAGUGAUUGUUGCCAGGAUAUGUUAUAACAUGUUUCAGCUAGCCACAACCAUGCUUCAAGGCUGCCAGCUAAAUUUGUGAGUAGAUGAGAACAGAAUUAUUUCUUUUUUCAUCAUAAAAAUGAGUGACCAUUAUUGAGAGCAAAGAAUUCAUAUUAAACUUUGUGUAGAGUUAAGUAAAUCUGCAAGUGAGACACUUGAAAAGUUAAAAGUAGCUUAUGGUGAAGAAAUAAUGUCAAGAGCAAGAGUUUUUGACUGGCAUAGAAGGUUUAAAGAAGGUGGAAAUGAUAUCCACGAUGAUGCUCGAAGUGGCCGGCCAGUCACCCACGGCACACAUGAAAACAUUGAGAGGGUCAGAAAUUUGGUUUGCUCAGAUAGCCGCAUAAUGGUAAGAAAAAUGGCUGAAAAGUUAAAUUUAGACGAAGAAACAGACUCAUUCUGAAAGAAAACUUGCGGAAAGUUUCUGGCGAGAAUAUGUCUCCUACUAUUGUGGUUGAUGAUCCUGUAGAGGUUAAACCAAAAGAGAGCUGCGCAGGAACCUGCCUCUGGGGUGCAUAUCCAGGGCACAAUCCAACAGUUUUGUUUCAUUGGUCUUGGAGAAACUUCAGGCUGAAUCUAAAAUGAGCUGGGCUUCUUCAACCAUUUUCCUUCAGCUUUGUAGGUACGUGAUUUAAGCAGAGUGGAAGCUGCAGAGCUGAGUGUGACAAAGGAGAGAGCAUGGAGCUGGAAGUUUAUUAGGAGGAAUCUAGCAAACUGUUACCUCAGAAGGAGAGACUCAACAUGGAAGCAUUUCUACUUUAUUUCUUCACGGAUGAAGCUACAAUCGCUCAGUAUUGGUAUUGUUGCAAGCUAGAUACACCACAACUACAGCACGCGGGACUGAAGUCAGAGCCCUGUGGCAGUGACCCUGAGAAGACUGGUUUCAUUAGUUAUACCAUUACUUUUUCUUUUUUAAAGCCUCCCAGAAAUUCAAGUUUACAUUUCAUGGAACAUGAGCCAAAACUAAUUGAGGUUGUUUAUGGAAAAAUCAUCUCAUUUUAAUGGUCUGUACCUCUGGGACACUGCUGGCCAAAGCUGUAUGGCCCACAAGGCAAAAAUUAUGAUAAUUAGACUGUUUUUCCUAUUGUCUUAUUUCCAUGACUGAAUUUUUAUGUGAACUUUGGAUGGUGUUUUGUACUGUGUAAUGAAAUUUAUUACAAGUAUAUGUACAUGACAUUCCAGUAAACCAUAAAUUGAUUUCUUACUAGUUUUGAUAAUCUGUG
rnacentral:lncRNA from 1 species